UACGUAGGGGGCAAGCGUUGUUCGGGAUUACUGGGCGUAAAGGGCGCGUAGGCGGCACGGCAAGUCAGGAGUGAAAGCCCGGGGCUCAACCCCGGAAUGUCUUUUGAAACUGCCGAGCUAGAGUGCGGAAGAGGCAACUGGAAUUCCCAGUGUAGCGGUGAAAUGCGUAGAUAUUGGGAAGAACACCUGAGGCGAAGGCGGGUUGCUGGGCCGACACUGACGCUGAGGCGCGAAAGCCAGGGGAGCGAACGGG
rnacentral:rRNA from 1 species